rnacentral:rRNA from 1 species
UACGUAGGGACCAAGCGUUGUUCGGAUUUACUGGGCGUAAAGGGCGCGUAGGCGGCUUAACAAGUCACUUGUGAAAUCUCUGGGCUUAACCCAGAACGGCCAAGUGAAACUGUCGAGCUAGAGUGUAGAAGGGGCAAUCGGAAUUCUUGGUGUAGCGGUGAAAUGCGUAGAUAUCGGGAAGAACACCUAUGGCGAAGGCAGCUCUCUGGGACGGUACUGACGCUGAGACGCGAAAGCGUGGGGAGCAAACAGG